UGGAUUAGUGGCGAACGGGUGAGUAACACGUGAGUAACCUGCCCUUGACUCUGGGAUAAGCCUGGGAAACUGGGUCUAAUACUGGAUAUGACUUCUCACCGCAUGGUGGGGGGUGGAAAGAUUUAUUGGUCUUGGAUGGACUCGCGGCCUAUCAGCUUGUUGGUGAGGUAAUGGCUCACCAAGGCGACGACGGGUAGCCGGCCUGAGAGGGUGACCGGCCACACUGGGACUGAGACACGGCCCAGACUCCUACGGGAGGCAGCAGUGGGGAAUAUUGCACAAUGGGCGCAAGCCUGAUGCAGCGACGCCGCGUGAGGGAUGACGGCCUUCGGGUUGUAAACCUCUUUCAGUAGGGAAGAAGCGAAAGUGACGGUACCUGCAGAAGAAGCGCCGGCUAACUACGUGCCAGCAGCCGCGGUAAUACGUAGGGCGCGAGCGUUAUCCGGAAUUAUUGGGCGUAAAGAGCUCGUAGGCGGUUUGUCGCGUCUGCCGUGAAAGUCCGGGGCUUAACCCCGGAUCUGCGGUGGGUACGGGCAGACUAGAGUGCAGUAGGGGAGACUGGAAUUCCUGGUGUAGCGGUGAAAUGCGCAGAUAUCAGGAGGAACACCGAUGGCGAAGGCAGGUCUCUGGGCUGUAACUGACGCUGAGGAGCGAAAGCAUGGGGAGCGAACAGGAUUAGAUACCCUGGUAGUCCAUGCCGUAAACGUUGGGCACUAGGUGUGGGGGACAUUCCACGUUUUCCGCGCCGUAGCUAACGCAUUAAGUGCCCCGCCUGGGGGAGUACGGCCGCAAGGCUAAAACUCAAAAGGAAUUGACGGGGGGCCCGCACA
rnacentral:rRNA from 1 species